AUUGAACGCUGGCGGCAGGCCUAACACAUGCAAGUCGAGCGGGGUUUUCGGACCUAGCGGCGGACGGGUGAGUAAUGCGUAGGAAGCUGCCCGAUAGAGGGGGAUACCAGUUGGAAACGACUGUUAAUACCGCAUAACGUCUACGGACCAAAGUGUGGGACCUUCGGGCCACAUGCUAUCGGAUGCGCCUACGUGGGAUUAGCUAGUUGGUGAGGUAAUGGCUCACCAAGGCGACGAUCUCUAGCUGGUUUGAGAGGAUGAUCAGCCACACUGGAAAUGAGACACGGUCCAGACUCCUACGGGAGGCAGCAGUGGGGAAUAUUGGACAAUGGGCGCAAGCCUGAUUCAGCCAUGCCGCGUGUGUGAAGAAGGCCUUCGGGUUGUAAAGCACUUUCAGCGAGGAGGAAGGGGUGUGUGUUAAUAGUACACACCUUUGACGUUACUCGCAGAAGAAGCACCGGCUAACUCUGUGCCAGCCGCCGCGGUAAUAC
rnacentral:rRNA from 1 species